rnacentral:rRNA from 1 species
GAUUAACGCUAGCGGCGUGCAUUGGUAUGCAAGUAGAGCGACAUAUCUUCGGAUUUGGAGCUGCGAACGGCCGAGUAACGCGUAAGGACUUACCUUUUGGAGGAGAAUAGCUCGGGGAAACCCGGAUUAAUACUGCAUAAGAUCUACGGAUGAAAGGGUGUAACUACCCGCCGAAAGAAAGACUUGCGUUCUAUCAGCUUGUUGGUGAGGUAAUGGCUCACCAAGGCUACGACGGAUAGGGGGCGUGAGAGCGUGUACCCCCGGAAUGGCACUGAGACACGGGCCAUACACCUACGGGUGGCGCAACCAGGAAUAGUACGCAAUGGGCGAGAGCCUGACGUCGCGACGCCGCGUGAGGGAUGAAUGCCUAAGGGUUGUAAACCUCUUUUGGUUACAUAGAGAUGUGUAGCAGAAUAAGCACCCGCUAACUACGUGCCAGCAGCUGCGGUAAAACGUAGGGUGCAAGCGUUGUCCGGAUUUACUGGGCGUAAAGAGUUUGUAGGCGAUUUCGAAAGUCAUUCUUCAAAGACCGAGGCUCAACCUCGGGUAGGGGGGUGAUACUGCGAGAAUUGGAUAGUUUAGGGGCUACUGAAACUUGCCAUGUAGGGGUGAAAUCCGUUGAUAUGGCAAGGAACACCGAGGGCGAAGGCGGGUAGCUGGGAACUUAUCGACGCUGAGAAACGAAAGCUAGGGUAGCGAAAGGGAUUAGAGACCCCUGUAGUCCUAGCCGUAAACGAUGCUCGCUAGGGAUUGGUCCAGCUCUUUUUGGGAAGAUGUUGGCAUAGAGAUUCACAGAGAAUUUAGGGAAUCCGAUGCUAACAGUUUAUUACUUCGCGGAAAGAGUUGGAUCAGUUCCGUAAGCUAACGCGUGAAGCGAGCCGCCUGGGGAGUACGAUCGCAAGAUUAAAACUCAAAGGAAUUGACGGGGACCUGCACAACCAGUGGAGCAUGUGGUUUAAUUCGAGACAGACCGAAGAACCUUACCUGGGUUUGACAUCCCGAUGACCGCAUUAGAGAUAGUGUUUUCCAAUAUUUUAUUGGACAUCGGUGACAGGUGUUGCAUGGCUGUCGUCAGCUCGUGCCGUGGGGUGUUCCCUUCAGUGGGGUAACGAGCGCAACCCCUGCCGUAUGUUAAAUUGUUCAUACGGGACUUUUCGACCUUGUGUUGGAAGGAAGUGGGGACGACGUCAAGUCAGCAUGACCCUUAUAUCCAGGGCUACACACAUGCUACAAUGGGGCCGACAAUGGGUUGCCAAGCAGUAAUGCGGAGCUAAUCCCAUCAAACGGCCUCUCAGUGGGGAUUGAGGGCUGCAAUUCGCCCUCAUGAACGAGGAAUUGGUAGUAAUCGCAGAUCAGCCAAGCUGCGGUGAAUACGUUCUCAGGUCUUGUACACACCGCCCGUCAAGUCAGUGAAGUUGGAGAUACCCGAAUGGCCGCUGGUCGGUCAGAAGGUAGAGCCAGCGACAAGGAUU